rnacentral:rRNA from 1 species
UACGAAGGGGGCUAGCGUUGUUCGGAAUUACUGGGCGUAAAGGGCGCGCAGGCGGCUCUUCAAGUCAGAUGUGGAAAGCCCCGGGCUCAACCUGGGAACUGCAUUUGAGACUGGGAGAGCUUGAGUUCGGGAGAGGAUGGUGGAAUUCCCAGUGUAGAGGUGAAAUUCGGUAGAUAUUGGGAAGAACACCGGUGGCGAAGGCGGCCAUCUGGACCGAUACUGACGCGUGAGG